rnacentral:rRNA from 1 species
UGGGGAAUUUUGGACAAUGGGGGCAACCCUGAUCCAGCAAUGCCGCGUGUGUGAAGAAGGCCUUCGGGUUGUAAAGCACUUUUGUCCGGGAAGAAAAGGCGCUGGCUAAUACCUGGCGUUGAUGACGGUACCGGAAGAAUAAGCACCGGCUAACUACGUGCCAGCAGCCGCGGUAAUACGUAGGGUGCAAGCGUUAAUCGGAAUUACUGGGCGUAAAGCGUGCGCAGGCGGUUUGGUAAGACAGAUGUGAAAUCCCCGGGCUCAACCUGGGAAUUGCAUUUGUGACUGCCCGGCUAGAGUGUGUCAGAGGGGGGUAGAAUUCCACGUGUAGCAGUGAAAUGCGUAGAUAUGUGGAGGAAUACCGAUGGCGAAGGCAGCCCCCUGGGAUAACACUGACGCUCAUGCACGAAAGCGUGGGGAGCAAAC